AGUUCUAUAAACAAAAUAGUUCGCCAGAGAACUACUAGCAACAGCUUAAAACUCAAAGGACUUGGCGGUGCUUUACAUCCCUCUAGAGGAGCCUGUUCUAUAAUCGAUAAACCCCGAUAGACCUCACCAUUCCUUGCUAAUACAGUCUAUAUACCGCCAUCUUCAGUAAACCCUUAAAAGGUAAAGUAGUAAGCACGAUCACUUCACGCAAAAAAGUUAGGUCAAGGUGUAACCCAUGGGAUGGGAAGAAAUGGGCUACAUUUUCUACUCCAAGAAUACUUCACGGAAGUUUUUAUGAAACUAAAAACUGAAGGAGGAUUUAGUAGUAAGUUAAGAAUAGAGAGCUUAACUGAAUAGGGCCAUGAAGCACGCACACACCGCCCGUCACCCUCCUCAAGUAAUAACCCUACAACAAUAAUCAUAUUAAUCAAACCCAAAGCACAAGAGGAGACAAGUCGCUAACAAGGUAAGCGUACCGGAAGGUGCGCUUGGAUUCAC
rnacentral:rRNA from 1 species